AAAAAACAGGGUGGUAUGAUAUAACUGUUGCGGCAAAAAAAAACACUAGAGGGUUGUGAUAUACCUGCUUCCACAAAAUACUGCUUAAGGGGUUAGAUAUACCUGUUUCCACCAAAUAUUUUUUGAGGCCUGCGAUAUACCUGCUUCCACAAAUUACUG